CUCGGAUCAGGUAGGGAUACCCGCUGAACUUAA
rnacentral:rRNA from 3 species